GAGGUAAAUGGCUCACCAAGGCGACGAUCCGUAGCUGGUCUGAGAGGACGACCAACCACACCGGAACUGAGACACGGUCCGGACUCCUACGGGAGGCAGCAGUGGGGAAUAUUGGACAAUGGGGGAAACCCUGAUCCAGCGACGCCGCGUGUGUGAAGAAGGCCUGCGGGUUGUAAAGCACUUUUAGUGGGGACAAAAAGUCACGGACUAACACUGCGUGAUCUUGAUUUAACUCACAGAAAAAGCACCGGCUAACUCUGUGCCAGCAGCCGCGGUAAUACAGAGGGUGCGAGCGUUAAUCGGAAUUACUGGGCGUAAAGCGCGCGUAGACGGUUUUGUAAGUCAGAUGUGAAAUCCCCGGGCUCAACCUGGGAACUGCAUUUGAAACUGCAUGGCUAGAGUACGGUAGAGGGAAGCGGAAUUUCCGGUGUAGCGGUGAAAUGCGUAGAUAUCGGAAGGAACACCAGUGGCGAAAGCGGCUUCCUGGACCAGUACUGACGUUCAUGUGCGAAAGCGUGGGGAGCAAACAGGAUUAGAUACCCUGGUAGUCCACGCCAUAAACGAUGACAACUAGAUGUUGGGAGGGUCUGCCUCUCGGUGUCGCAGCUAACGCGUUAAGUGUCCGC
rnacentral:rRNA from 1 species